GACGUGAGGCUGCCUCUCCACUGAGAACCAACUCAUUUCUUUUCUCUCAAGUUUUCUUAUUUAAUAUCCUUGCCCUGAGUCCGGUUUAUGCUAAUUAGUUACUAACUGGUGAGGAUUAAUGCAGAAGAAAUAUAAAGCUGUAAGGUUACAUGGCAGUCCUGGGCUUGGUUGUCAGAAGCCACUGUAACCUUUCAUUCUCUUCAAUCAGUGUCGCCACAGCUGUGAUUUCCAAGAGGCAACUCGGAGGACUUCCAGCCACCAGGGCCAAAGUCUCACUGGCACUGUCCUACUGGCAUGUCCCUGGUGGAACUAUGCUGGAGGUCACUGCGUAUCAAACGGGGAUGAUCCAUGCUCAGGUGAAUGCAUGCUUUUCCAAGAUAUUUGCACCUUCUGGCUGGCUCUGCUGUCAUCUGGAUGCCCUAGUGGCAGAAGGGAGGAUGUAGCUUAGCACUUCCUUCUCCAUCAGUCUCAUGACAGAAGCAAGGCAUUUGCUUUUUCUCCCCAGCAGCAGAGUAAAAGCAAGGCUGCUUGAUGCCGGCGAGAAACAUGUGGCUGUCCAACAUAUUGCCUGAAAUCCACAAAAGGAAUCAUUGGUGAGCCGCAAAACAUAUGCUGUGUCAUGCCUUUUUAUUACUGUGCAAGAAUUGCCAAAGAAGCCUAAGGAGGAAUCAAGGACAUCAUCGUUGCGAGGAAAAGAGGAAACAGCCCAGUUUUACAACACCGAGGCUUGUAACCGCUUGCGGUAGAUAGUUUCAGAACUGGUUUAAUUUUAAAUUAUUCUUUUGCCAACUGACAGCAGCUUCAAAGCGACUUUUGUUUGAUUCCACCACUUUCUGAUCCCCACUGAGUCAUUUUACAAUGCCCUGCCAACCAAAGUCCAACCGAUGCAGGCAGCAGCACAGCAGCAUCUGCUCUGUCCUCUGCAUGGGAAGAUGGCAUCACCAAAGGUGGCUCUAGCAGGAAAAGCACUGGUCUCCUGUGCCCACACCGGCUGCUCGAUGUGCUGCUAUUAUCCCAAGGGGUGUUUUCAGUUGGAGAGGAUCAAGGAACCCAUUUGGGUUUAAAAUAAAGAGGCUGAAAGAUAAGAUUACAUUCAACUUGGUCUCUUUCCAGGACACCGGUUUCCUGAGGAGCUGGAGAGAUACAGAAGAAAUGUGGGUUUUGGUAUAUGACAAAUUCACACUGCGACUUCUCCCAAGUGCUUUUGUUUGCGAUGCCUUGGAGCUCAUGCAAAACUACAGAAAAGGCCACAGAGGGGGAGCUUAGCAGAAAGAAGCCUGGUUUCUCCACCAGAGAUGAAUCAUGCUGAAACACAAAGCUAGCCUCUUCCUUAUUGGAAGCUGGGAUAUUGCUUCUGCUGUGCAGAGAGGAUCCCACAGCAGCAGCCUCCAGGCAAUGGGACACACUUCUGGAGUCGUUAUCAUCUGCCAUCAAACACAGCCCUAGGCCCAAGGAGGGGCUUUAAUGAGCAGGGAAAACACCACAGAAGAACUGGAAAUGUUCCCCCCCAGGUCAGUUUGCUCACCAUUAGUGUUUUCUUACCAUCUCUGCUGUAGGCAAAUGCGUUUUCUGUAUGUAAGAAUUUGUAGAACUGAUAACCAACUUCACAGGGAUAGGAAAGGGCAAGAAUGCUUUCAAGAAGCCUCAGGUUUCCUUACACAUCUCUGAAAGACAGUCCACAGUGCAACACAGCCACCAAUAGCAGAGGCUUACUAAUGAUGACAGUGCCUGCAAAGAGCAGAAAUGCAGAAAGUGAUGGAAAGGUUUGUAACAGGGGCUUUGAGAGGGAGAGCACUGCAUCACCAGCAUUUCAGGAAUAAGAGGCUGAUCUGCUCACAGACACAGGCUAACACUCACUGUCCCACCUUGUGCUGCUUUCCGCCCCACAUAUAAAGGAUAUCCAGUGCAAUGCAGUGACACCAAACAUGUCCUUUCAAAGGACUUGAGAUUAUGGUAGUGGUAGAGAUUUGGGAAAAAGUAGCUACUGCAGAAACCUGCAAUUUGUAUUUCAUAUCCUAUUGCACGUGACAAUUCAGUUCUUUUGGGAAACUCCAUUCUCCGGUCAAAAAUAAGCCAGCAAUGUGGAAAGAGUGAGAUAAGCUGUUUGUUCAAGCAGUCACACCUCACAUCCUCAGAGACAUAGGCUGGUCACAGCAGUCACAAUUUUGGCAGUGUCCAACACAAGCUCAGCCCCACUGCCAUGGCAGCUCCAGGAUAACUAUACCUCUAGGGGCAUCGCAAAUGUGCCAGCACACGUGGCAGGCCAGCCUUCAGCCUUGUAGCUUAGGAUGGCAACAGCCUUCAGCCCAGAUCAGCUCAUUGCUUAAGGGAAAGAAGCGCUGGAAACCACUUCUGAGCUCAUCCCAGCAGAGCACCAUUGCCACAGCACUUAUCUGCGGUUAUCUGUAGUUGCAGGUGACCUGACAUGAGACUUACUUGCACUCACACACUUUAAAUUUGAGGCAGGCAUAAAACAUGAGAUAGUACAUGUUGCUCAUGUAGGGAAAUGCCUUCAUUAAUAUUCAACCCUGAGGACUAGCCUAAGGUAGAGAGUUUUUUGGAGCAGUGUGCUGCAUGCAAGACAUUUAAAAUCCAGACACUCCUCUAACACUUGAAAUGCUCAUAGAAGAACUGAUGCACCCAAAACCAGGUCUUCUCAGGAGCUCUAUUUCCUCUGAGCUGUCCGUGCAACAGACUUACCUUGUAUGGGUGGAAAUACUCUUGAUCUCUGAUGAUCAAAGGACAGUCUGAUGUGCCUGCCAGAGAGAAAGAGCAAGCAAAACCUCAAGAAAAUGCAGGACGUGUGGGACUCAUGUCUCCCUAUCUACAUGCUCCUUUGCACCAAGCCAGUGGUAUGAAAAGUGGAUAUCCAUACUCCUUUUGCCUCAGAAGCACAAUUUAGACAAUACUUGAGUCUGUUGGUCACAGUGUGGGUAACUCUGAGGGGGAUGAAACGAUACAUGCAGAGCCACUGGCUAAGGCCUAGUGGCCGAGGUACCCCACAGGGGUCCGGCUGCCCUGCAGCAGCAGUGUGUCCCAGCAGUGUGGCAGGGCAGGUGCUGGGGCAGGAGCUCCCUCCACCAUGCUAAGAUGUCUCUGAGUGAGUCACCGCACUGCCAUCUGAAAUACUGGGUCAGGUGCUCUAGUUUAAACCCCAGAUGACGGUAGGUGAGCAGACAGGCGAGCACACCCCUUCAGUAACAAACCCGUGGGAGGCUGGAAGGUACCUGAGGCCAGGGCAGGUGCUUGCUGAGUGAGUGUGUCAGCGCUCUGAGGCUGGUGGGAACCAUUCCUCUUGGCAUUCGCAUUGCUCUAGAAAUGAGUUACACUGGCGCUGAAGAGCUAGAAACUUUCACAUUGACAUAUAUUUUAAUAGCCAAUUAGACUAAAAUAGUCUUGGUGUAAGUGAAAACUAGACAGUGGCAGUACCCAGGAUAAAACUAAUUGAGAUUAUUUGUGAAUUCCCAGUUACAUUUCUAUUGGAAGAGCCAAAAUGAUGUACCAUGUGUUUAUUCUGGCUCUAGAUGUUUUGUUGUUGUUGUUUUGCUGGCAUUAAACCACCUGUUGGAAGACAGACCUUGCCUUAUCCUACAUAAAGACAGCCAGUACAGUGCUGACUCAUCACCAGUGUUUGAUCAAAUGGAAGUUUACUAUCAUAUGGAUCAGCACUUUGCACCGGGAAGCCCCGGUGUUUGCUAUCCUUCCUUGGAAGUCAUAAAGCCAGGCCUUUUUCUUCCAUCAGCAGCCCACAUGUGCAGGGCUCUAACUGAAAUGGUUUAACACCGGCCCUUUUAUUACACCAGCGCAACUCCUUCCCACACGUUGGCCCUUCACCUGAUGUUACUCAUUGCUUUUUGUUUACACAUAGGAAUUUUAUUUGAUGCAUAAGCAGAUAAGUACUGCAUCUGCUCAGUCGUAUUUCCCUAACACCUCUCCUUUUGUUCUUUUUGCUUUUUAUCUUCUGGGUUUUCUUCGCUAAGGAUCCUUGCCCUCACCCAUCCACUGUCCCCUUACUUCCUUAGCUUCACUCUGCCCACCUCUGCUUCUGCAGUAGAGGAAGCUUGCUUGAUAGCAUUAUGCAAUGCCUUUACUAUUUGGUGAUGUUAAUGCUCUCACUCUGAAUCAAUUUCCUCUUUGUUUGCCUGUGAUGGAAAGCUCCGUGAAAUUUGCAACGGUUUUGCUGAAAUGAGAAAAGGGAAGGACGAGAUCUGCAGCCAGGCACUCUGCAGCCCCUCCCAGCUCUCCAGUGCUCAGGGUAGGGGCGCAGACUGAGUCACUCCACCCUGCACCAGCAAACACCCGUGGAGGCACAAAAGGGCUGCUGACAGCAGGCAGCAUGCAGCCAGCUUGGAUUAAAGGCCACCUCUGGGAAGAGGGGCUCGUGCCCAGAGAGCCUUGGCUCUUCUGGAUGACUCAGCCUGAUUUGCCCCACUCAGGUGGAGGCCAGACCAUCCCCAGUUUGCCUGGGAGCUCCUGCCCCCCUGAGCAGCUCUGGUUGGAGGACUGGUGCCCCCAAUAGCUCUAGGGUGAAGAGAAGCAGUUGGAGGCAGGCUGGAGAGCCCUGCUUCUGCCUCCCCACUGGAAACUAUACUUUCUUGCUUGCUCACGUGCACACUCAGAUUGUGCACUUGAGAAGACGAUAGGCAGGAAUAUUUACAUUCCUUGCCAUGGAUAUGAAGCUGAAUUCCACCCUCCGGUUGCAAGGUGAAUCAGGUCAGAAACACUGUUUCAGAGAACAGAAAUGCAGAGGUACGGCCAAUCAGAUGGGGUGCCGAGCCACCAUGCAACUGCACAACCUUUCCAGCAAUUAGUCCAGCAGAAAGCAAGGGAAGGAUCGCAAGCUCAGUGCUAACCAGGGGUUUUGGCACUUUGCUGGGAAGGCUCACCUGGCAAAGCUGCUCCCUGAGGUCAGCAAGUCUGCUGAGCAGAUACCCCAGCACCCUGUGGCAAAGCUCCUCUGCUGGGGGAACAAGGCUUACUUCUGUGAACUACUGCUGAGAAUGCAUGCUCAGAGCACACAGCAUGUGUGCAGGAAGGAAUGAUGCAGCUGUACCUUCACACCUUUCAGCACUCGCUUACAAAAGGGCAGAAAGAUGUGUUUAAAUUCCCUUUUCUUCUUCCCUUGUUUGGCUAGACAAGUCCCAGGCCAUAUCUGGAUAGCACCAGCUAGACUGUAUGUCUGGCCACUGCAUCCCACUCAUUUUUAAGGAAAAAUAAGCCCCACACUGGAGAGUCUGCUCACAGAUCAGGCAGUUCUCUGCUGGACUGGGCUGCUUGGAGCCUAUGCUCUCCACAUCUGAAACCAGACAACCCCAGGAGCAAAGCUCCACGUUUCCAGUCACUGAUUCACAGCCUCUGGCAGUUCCUGCAGGAUGGCUGAAAACAGUGCCAUGGGGCUAGCAGCUUGCCCCACAGCCAGCGCAUCCCAACCGCAUCUGCCUUGGACCCGGAGAAGGAACCCUAUAAUCCCUGUGUGCUCCUUCAGCAUCACCUAGCAUUUCCAUCCCAAACACUGUGUCUUCCUUCUCCUUCCUGCUCCUUAAUGCAGCCACUCAUAUGGAAAAUGAAUCAGCCUUCCUUGGGCAUGUUUCCAGAGGCCCCUCUGACUAAUUCUGCCCAAAACAGCCAGGCUGACCCUGUGCAAUGGUGUGAUCAUGGCAGACAGGACUGGGUCACGUUUGGGUGGAGGAAGGGAAAAACUGUUUCGCAGGCCUGCCCAAAAAUCCUCAUGUUGACUCUGCCAAAACCACACCAAACAUAUGGCAAAUGAAAUAGCUGGCAUGGAGCUGCUUUGGACAGCAGAAGUGUUUCAGCACUGUGGACUGCUCUUUAGCUGUCUUGAAUGUUAUUUACCCUGUUUAAGCAUCUCCACAUUUAAGGGAGAGAAGGCAAAGAAAAAGGCAGUGCCAAUUUUUUGUGCAUUUGAUGCUUUUAAAAUGCACAUUAUUUUUAUAAUCAUGUUAGCACAGUCCCAAUGCUUGUCCUGUCCUGUGAGAACAGUAAUGGCAUUGCAGAAGGUUUCCCCUCCUUGUGUAGCAACGGACUUCUGUGGAAAAGCACACAGAAGCAUUUUCUCUCUCAAAACAGGAGCUGUGCCUAAUUCACCAUAUAAAUGUCCUGCACAUUUCAUGGAGCUGAUGAAAUCAUGUACAGAUGGAAUUCCUCUUAACAAAGGCUUUAUUCACAGAGCAGGUUUCUCUGCCAUGUAUCUGACUGUAUUCCAGCUUAUACAGCUAUUCCCACUGAAUAUAUCCAUGGAGCCAGACCAUUUUCUGGGCAGAUACCAAAGGUGGAGGUGCUCCCAACACUGCACUGUGGCUUCAUUACAAGUCUGAGGCUGAAGUCAUGCCAAUGAGCACUCCUUUCCUCACUUUGUGUUGUUCACCUGGACUCAAGCACCCAAUGCCAUUUCCAGGGUUUGUCAGGUACUUUGGAAAAAACACUGUAGAACAACAAGAACCUGAGAAAGAGCAUCCAAAGAACCCAGAGUUCGUCAGUCAUUUGGGAGAUGGCCAUAGGAAUGGAGUUGUGGUGGCUACAGCUACAGAAGAAAGAUGAAAAUAAAGCAGCCAAAUGGUGAUGAUCAUGAAAAAAAAAAGAAGAAGUUACUUUUCUGGAGAUCGAGGUAUGGUUUUUUUCCUUGGAGCUGCAGUGGUGGAGUACCAGCAGGAGAGCUCACCUCCUCACCCAGCAGCUGGCAGGCUACUGGGCAGCUUUCCACCAUUCUCUUGAAUAUUGUGGCUUGGGUUUUAACCCUUCUCCAGCCCAAACUCAACCCCCGUAGCUUCUCCCAUUUGUCCAUAAGCCACGGUGUCCUGACACUAUUGCAGUGAUGAGGGCCUUGUGUAAAAGAAGGCAGGGGCUGCUAGCCUGUUCACAUGUACACCUUUCCAGGGCUGAGCACACCGAUCCCCAAAUCCUUUGUCAAUGCAACCUGAUGUAGACAAGGAAAAUAGCAGGCUGAUGUAUGCUGCAGAGCAAACUUCUUGGCACAGUCCAGCAGGAUUCUUUCACGAACCCUUCUCCCUGCCUUUCUUUUUUGCCCUUUGUUCAGUGCUCAGUCAGUAACUCCUUAGGAACAACUCGCAAACUGCCCACUCUGAAAGCGAGAACAGCAACAACAAAAGGAAUGAUAUAGAGGGAUGACUUCAGAGAGUUUGGAAAUAUCUUCUCAAAUGAAACAUUCCUUUGCACACAUACACAAGAAAGCAUCAAAAUUCUCUGCGGCUGAUGUAAACAGCAGAAAGAAAAAGUCAUCUGGAAGGACAGGAUGAUUCAUACCAAGGACCUUGCUGGCAAUAUUCAUCAGUGUUGAAAUCCUCUCUGCAAGAUGACUACAUGCGAAAGCAAAACCAACGAGAUCCCAGCUUUUGCCACGAGAAGCGUCAUUAAUGGCAGAGCAGCAUGGUUAGGCUCCUAAUGCCACAACCCUUGCUCAUGGGAGUUACCCUUGCUCACUCAUCUGACCGGUGGCAGCAAAAAGCCCUGUGUCACCCAGGUGAGAAUGCUUUACGUAAGGGCAGCCACAGCAGCAGGCUGGAGCACGCUCAGCUGUUGCAACCUGUUUUGCAGAAGGGGCUUUGGAGCAGGAACAGAAAGUUCAGAGGCAAAAGAGAAGGGAUUUUCUCCAUCUUGCCAAAACUGCUUGCUAGGGCUUCCUCUCAGAAAUCUCUGAUUUGAACACUUUAGGGAGACUGGAAAGUUCAGCCUAUCUUUCCCUUUAUGUUAAUUGUGUUGAUCCAAAGGGGAACAGGGCACAAAAGGCCACGCUGACUUUAUGCAUUGUUAUGAGAUACUUUCCCCUGCAUAUCUGAAUCUGUUUACUUAAUCUUCCAGGCCUUUACCCAUGAAUAUUAAACUGCUUGAUCACUAUGCAUUAGGAGUCAUCUUUGCACCAUCUGUUUGUAUUUGUCAUCUAACCCUUGUAAAUAAUAAAAUGUACUUUGUUCUCAAGUUCGUGGAUCCUAGCAGGAGA